GCUGCAACUGUUUAUUAAAAACACAGCACUGUGCAAAAUCGUAAGAUGACGUAUACGGUGUGACGCCUGCCCGGUGCCGGAAGGUUAAUUGAUGGGGUUAGACUUCGGUCGAAGCUCUUGAUCGAAGCCCCGGUAAACGGCGGCCGUAACUAUAACGGUCCUAAGGUAGCGAAAUUCCUUGUCGGGUAAGUUCCGACCUGCACGAAUGGCGUAAUGAUGGCCACGCUGUCUCCACCCGAGACUCAGUGAAAUUGAAAUCGCUGUGAAGAUGCAGUGUACCCGCGGCUAGACGGAAAGACCCCGUGAACCUUUACUACAGCUUGGCACUGAACAUUGACCCUACAUGUGUAGGAUAGGUGGGAGGCUUUGAAGCACGUACGCCAGUAUGUGUGGAGCCGUCCUUGAAAUACCACCCUUGUAGUGUUGAUGUUCUAACGUCGACCCCUUAUCGGGGUUGCGGACAGUGCCUGGUGGGUAGUUUGACUGGGGCGGUCUCCUCCCAAAGAGUAACGGAGGAGCACGAAGGUGGGCUAAUCACGGUUGGACAUCGUGAGGUUAGUGCAAUGGCAUAAGCCCGCUUGACUGCGAGAAUGACAAUUCGAGCAGGUGCGAAAGCAGGUCAUAGUGAUCCGGUGGUUCUGAAUGGAAGGGCCAUCGCUCAACGGAUAAAAGGUACUCCGGGGAUAACAGGCUGAUACCGCCCAAGAGUUCAUAUCGACGGCGGUGUUUGGCACCUCGAUGUCGGCUCAUCACAUCCUGGGGCUGAAGUCGGUCCCAAGGGUAUGGCUGUUCGCCAUUUAAAGUGGUACGCGAGCUGGGUUUAGAACGUCGUGAGACAGUUCGGUCCCUAUCUGCCGUGGGCGUUGGAAGAUUGAAGGGGGCUGCUCCUAGUACGAGAGGACCGGAGUGGACGAACCUCUGGUGUUCGGGUUGUGUCGCCAGACGCAUUGCCCGGUAGCUAAGUUCGGAAUCGAUAACCGCUGAAAGCAUCUAAGCGGGAAGCGAGCCCUGAGAUGAGUCUUCCCUGAUACUUUAAGUAUCCUAAAGGGUUGUCGGAGACUACGACGUUGAUAGGUCAGGUGUGUAAGUGCUGUGAGGCAUUGAGCUAACUGAUACUAAUUGCCCGUGAGGCUUAACCAU
rnacentral:rRNA from 1 species